rnacentral:rRNA from 1 species
AUGGCGGCGCGAGAGGAUGAGAUGAGGGGUCUAGGGUUCGAGUACGGGGUCGAGGAGGGCCUUAUAGAGCCGGGGUGGGGUUGGAUGUUCGGCAUGUGGCCAUCCAUGGCCGCGGACGACGGCGCGGCGUCCACCCAGCCUCUGAUGAACAGAGAGGUUGGGGAUGAGCUCCCGGUGGGCUGGGCCUUGCCUGUUCACAUCAAGGCCCAGGUGCAUAGUAGAUAA